GAUGAACGCUGGCGGCGUGCCUAAUACAUGCAAGUCGAGCGAACAGAUAAGGAGCUCGCUCCUUUGACGUUAGCGGCGGACGGGUGAGUAACACGUGGGUAACCUACCUAUAAGACUGGAAUAACUCCGGGAAACCGGGGCUAAUGCCGGAUAACAUUUAGAACCGCAUGGUUCUAAAGUGAAAGAUGGUUUUGCUAUCACUUAUAGAUGGACCCGCGCCGUAUUAGCUAGUUGGUAAGGUAACGGCUUACCAAGGCAACGAUACGUAGCCGACCUGAGAGGGUGAUCGGCCACACUGGAACUGAGACACGGUCCAGACUCCUACGGGAGGCAGCAGUAGGGAAUCUUCCGCAAUGGGCGAAAGCCUGACGGAGCAACGCCGCGUGAGUGAUGAAGGUCUUCGGAUCGUAAAACUCUGUUAUUAGGGAAGAACAAAUGUGUAAGUAACUGUGCACGUCUUGACGGUACCUAAUCAGAAAGCCACGGCUAACUACGUG
rnacentral:rRNA from 1 species